rnacentral:misc_RNA from 1 species
AACCUUAUGGACCUGCGGGCGUAUACCUGCGGAGGGAUCAUUACUGAGUCACGUGCUCAAACAACCCUUCUGUGGACCUGAAAUAAAACCGUUGCCUCGGCGGGCGGUCCCCCCCAAACCAACCCCACGUGGUGGGUUAGGGGAGACCAGACAGUCCGGUACGCUUAAGGCGUCCGGCGCCAGCCGCUGGCCCCAAACAAUUAAACUCUAGUAAUCUUUACCUUCAGAAUUUCAAUAUUU